rnacentral:tRNA from 1 species
GGGGAUUUAGCUCAGUGGUAGAGUGCUUGCCUUGCAAGUGCAAGGCCCUGGGUUCGGUCCCCAGCUCCG